CCUACGGGAGACAGCAGUGAGGAAUAUUGGUCAAUGGACGAGAGUCUGAACCAGCCAAGUAGCGUGAAGGAUGACUGCCCUAUGGGUUGUAAACUUCUUUUAUAUGGGAAUAAAAUGUUCCACGUGUGGGAUUUUGUAUGUACCAUAUGAAUAAGGAUCGGCUAACUCCGUGCCAGCAGCCGCGGUAAUACGGAGGAUCCGAGCGUUAUCUGGAUUUAUUGGGUUUAAAGGGAGCGUAGGUGGAUUGUUAAGUCAGUUGUGAAAGUUUGCGGCUCAACCGUAAAAUUGCAGUUGAAACUGGCAGUCUUGAGUACAGUAGAGGUGGGCGGAAUUCGUGGUGUAGCGGUGAAAUGCUUAGAUAUCACGAAGAACUCCGAUUGCGAAGGCAGUUCACUGGACUGCAACUGACACUGAGGCUCGAAAGUGUGGGUAUCAAACAGGAUUAGAUACCCCAGUAGUC
rnacentral:rRNA from 1 species